rnacentral:rRNA from 1 species
AGUGAACGCUGGCGGUAGGCCUAACACAUGCAAGUCGAACGGCGGCACAGGAGAGCUUGCUCUCUGGGUGGCGAGUGGCGGACGGGUGAGGAAUACAUCGGAAUCUACCUUUUCGUGGGGGAUAACGUAGGGAAACUUACGCUAAUACCGCAUACGACCUACGGGUGAAAGUGGGGGACCGCAAGGCCUCACGCGAUUAGAUGAGCCGAUGUCCGAUUAGCUAGUUGGCGGGGUAAUGGCCCACCAAGGCGACGAUCGGUAGCUGGUCUGAGAGGAUGAUCAGCCACACUGGAACUGAGACACGGUCCAGACUCCUACGGGAGGCAGCAGUGGGGAAUAUUGGACAAUGGGCGCAAGCCUGAUCCAGCCAUACCGCGUGGGUGAAGAAGGCCUUCGGGUUGUAAAGCCCUUUUGUUGGGAAAGAAAUCCUAUCGGUUAAUAACCGGUGGGGAUGACGGUACCCAAGGAAUAAGCACCGGCUAACUUCGUGCCAGCCGCCGCCGUAACAC